UACGUAGGGUGCAAGCGUUUGUCCGGAAUUAUUGGGCGUAAAGAGCUCGUAGGCGGUCUGUCGCGUCUGCUGUGAAAACUCAGGGCUUAACCCUGAGCUUGCAGUGGGUACGGGCAGACUAGAGUGCGGUAGGGGAGACUGGAAUUCCUGGUGUAGCGGUGAAAUGCGCAGAUAUCAGGAGGGAACACCGGUGGCGAAGGCGGGUCUCUGGGCAACAACUGACGCUGGAGGAGCGAAAGCCGUGGGGAGCGAACAGG
rnacentral:rRNA from 1 species